CAGGUGAAACAGCCUGUCGGGUCCCGCUAACCGGGAUCAGGAAAGUCCGGGCAACACUGGGCACCCCGCUUUCGAAAGAAAGACGUUCGUAAGGGUAUGGCAACAGUACAGAAAAUAACCGCCUUGACAUUGCUUUCAGGGUAAGGGUGAAAAGGUGAGGUAAGAGCUCACCGGCAGGUAUGGUGACAUGCCUGGCCGACUGCCCCGGGGGUUGUAAGGCCAAAUAUACCGGCACAUGAGGAUGGCCCGUCCGAUGCCGGGGGGUAGGCUGCGUAGAUAAAUGACAGGUCCCAUCUUUGCUAAAGCUAUGGUGGACACAGAACCCGGCUUAUGUUUCGCCUUUUUU
rnacentral:RNase_P_RNA from 1 species